AUGCCUCUUUAAGAAACGGAGGUUAGGGAAGCUAGGUGGUCUACCUAGCCAAUAGGAAGUUUAGCUUCCAGUGAGUUUAAACCAAUCAGAAUUCGGACUGCCGCUGCAGGACCCGCCCUUCCGCAACAUUGAGUGUGUAAGCGAGAGAGAUCCGGAAACGAUUAAGCUGGGCAGCGUGAGAGUCUCUGUUUUAAAACAGUUAUACAACUCCAAACAAACGCUUUCCCAGAUCAUCCGACUUCUAAGCUGGACGCGUGAAGUGAAAAAAAGAAAAGGAAAGACAAGUUCACUUUUUCUCCUGAACACCGUUAGAGCUGACUCGUUAGCUCUAACGGCCAACGGCUACUGGUUUAGCUCUAACGGCCAACGGCUACUGGUUUAGCUCUAACGGCCAACGGCUACUGGUUUAGCUCUAACGGCUACUAGGCUAACGUUUUAAGUUCAUCUUGUUCUCCGUUCAGUUGAAGGUAAAACCUAAUUUACGUUAUAUUCUUACUUUGUUCACAAUGAUAGCUCAUAUUAUCAAGGCUAAAGCAUGGAAAAUAUGCCUUAUUACACUAUCUAGUGCCUCACGGGUCCGGACUGAGAGCCACCAUAUUGUUGUCCCUAACGUGUCGCAUUGAGAUCGGUCAGGUUUUUUUUUGUUUAUGCUGGAUUGUUCCUGAGGUGGAUUCCUCCUGUGACUUUGAUGGCGAGCCUUCCCACCUGGACUUAGAAAGAACUGGAUUCCUGGAUUCCUUCUUUUCCGUUUGGAGUCCUGCUGCACCCCGCGGUGUGGUAGGCUAGUACCACUCACAUCUUCACACACAGUUGGUUAGGAGUGAGACCACUGACUGACAUUUUUCUUUUUAUUGUUUAAUCCUGGAAUUUCUGAUCUCACCUUUUGGACUGGUUUUUAUUUGGUACCUUGUAACAAACUGCUGUGUAGGAAAUUCUCCUCAUGUGAAUGGUGUUGAGCUGAACCUAAUUGGAACUGGAAUUGAUUGAUCUAUUGCCUAUUACGAUUUAGAAUUCAGAUCACCAGGGUGCACCCAAAAGAUUCAAAACUGAGAACUAGCACUUGGCCAAGUAUUUGUAUUAUUUUUUGUAUUUUAUUGUGUGUAAUUUUAUUUUCAUAAUUGUGUGUCUUGUAUAACUGUUUGUUAAUUUCAUGGUUUAUGUCACUAAAGCCAGUUGUUUUUUUUAAAUUCA